UGCGUAGGCGGUUAUAUUAGUCGGGUGUUAAAUCCAAGGGCUCAACCUUUGGCUCGCAUUCGAAACGGUAUAACUAGAAGAUGUGAGAGGUAAGCAGAACUCUCGGUGUAGGGGUGAAAUCCGUUGAUAUCGAGGGGAAUACCAAAUGCGAAGGCAGCUUACUGGCACAUUCUUGACGCUGAGGCACGAAAGCGUGGGUAGCGAACG
rnacentral:rRNA from 1 species